UAAUACAGAGGGUGCGAGCGUUAAUCGGAAUUACUGGGCGUAAAGGGUGCGUAGGUGGUUACGUAAGUUAGGUGUGAAAGCCCCGGGCUUAACCUGGGAAUUGCGCUUGAUACUGCGUGGCUAGAGUACUGUAGAGGAAAGUGGAAUUUCCGGUGUAGCGGUGAAAUGCGUAGAUAUCGGAAGGAACAUCGGUGGCGAAGGCGACUUUCUGGACAGAUACUGACACUGAGGCACGAAAGCAUGGGGAGCAAACAGGAUUAGAUACCCUGGUAGUCCAUGCUGUAAACGAUGAGGACUGGCUGUUGGAUGCCUAAGGGCAUUUAGUAGCGAAGCAAACGCGUUAAGUUCUCCGCCUGGGGAGUACGGCCGCAAGGUUA
rnacentral:rRNA from 1 species